AUAUGGUCUUGAAACUUAAAAAAUUUGGCGGUAUUUUAGUCUAUUCAGAGGAACCUGUUCUAUAAUCGAUAAUCCACGAUGGACCUCACUUAAAUUUGUUACAGUUUAUAUACCGUUGUUAUAGGAAAAUUUUAAUAGAAUAAUAAUUUUCAAUAAUUAGAAUUAUAAUUUAUAUCAGAUCAAGGUGUAGCUUAUGUUUAAGAAGAAAUGGGUUACAAUAAAAUUAUUUAUACGGAUUUUUUAGUGAAAUUUAAAAAUGAAGGUGGAUUUGAUUGUAAAAAAUUAAAGAUAAAAUUUUUGAUUUUAGCUCUAAAAUAUGUAC
rnacentral:rRNA from 1 species